rnacentral:rRNA from 1 species
UACGAAGGUGGCAAGCGUUGUCCGGAAUUAUUGGGCGUAAAGAGCUCGUAGGCGGUUUGUCGCGUCUGCUGUGAAAACGCGAGGCUCAACCUCGCGCCUGCAGUGGGUACGGGCAGACUAGAGUGCGGUAGGGGAGAUUGGAAUUCCUGGUGUAGCGGUGGAAUGCGCAGAUAUCAGGAGGAACACCGAUGGCGAAGGCAGAUCUCUGGGCCGUUACUGACGCUGAGGAGCGAAAGCGUGGGGAGCGAACAGG